rnacentral:rRNA from 1 species
UACGGAGGGUGCGAGCGUUGUCCGGAAUCAUUGGGCGUAAAGGGCGCGUAGGUGGCGGGACAAGCGUGCGGUGAAAGCCUGGGGCUCAACCCCGGGUCGGCCGUGCGAACUGUUUUGCUUGAGCACUGUAGAGGCAGGCGGAAUUCCGGGUGUAGCGGUGGAAUGCGUAGAGAUCCGGAAGAACACCGGUGGCGAAGGCGGCCUGCUGGGCAGUGCUGACACUGAGGCGCGACAGCGUGGGGAGCAAACAGG